AUCUACCUGACGAGUCCCAAACAGGACGAAACGCGCGUCCUGGAU
rnacentral:hammerhead_ribozyme from 1 species